UACAGGGGGUGCAAACGUUGCUCGGAAUCAUUGGGCGUAAAGCGCACGUAGGCGGUCUGUUAUGUCGGAUGUGAAAGCCCUUGGCUUAACUGAGGAAGUGCAUCCGAAACUGGCAGGCUAGAGUACUAAAGAGGGUCGCGGAAUUCCCGGUGUAGAGGUGAAAUUCGUAGAUAUUCGCAAGAACACCAGUGGCGAAGGCGGCUCACUGGUCCGGUACUGACGCUGAGGUGCGAAAGCGUGGGGAGCAAACAGG
rnacentral:rRNA from 1 species